CAGCAGCCGCGGGAAUACGGAGGAUCCAAGCGUUAUCCGGAAUUAUUGGGUUUAAAGGGUCCGUAGGCGGUCUUGUAAGUCAGUGGUGAAAGCCCAUCGCUCAACGGUGGAACGGCCAUUGAUACUGCAGGACUUGAAUUAUUGGGAAGUAACUAGAAUAUGUAGUGUAGCGGUGAAAUGCUUAGAGAUUACAUGGAAUACCAAUUGCGAAGGCAGGUUACUACCAAUUGAUUGACGCUGAUGGACGAAAGCGUGGGUAGCGAACAGGAUUAGAUACCCCCGUAGUCCCUGUCUCUUAUAU
rnacentral:rRNA from 1 species